GGUGAGAUGGCCGAGCGGUCUAAGGCGCUACGUUAAGGUCUUCAAAACCUUAAAACAAUCUGUUAUCCGUAGUCCGAAAGGGCGUGGGUUCGAAUCCCACUCUCAUCA
rnacentral:tRNA from 1 species